UUGGUGAGUGCUGUGAAGUGUGUAAACCUGGUGAUUCACAGACCUAUAUCCCUGGGGAUAAAAAUAUAUGUUUAUAAAAAAUAAAAAAUUAAAAAAAAAUUCAGAACAUAUAUCAGUGAUACAAGGUUAGCAUAGAAAAAAAAAAGCUCUUACAAAUUGACAAUCUGAAGACAAGCAAUAGAAAAAUAUGCAAAGUAUAUGAGGAGCCAGUUCACAAUGUAAAAAGUCCAAAUUAAGAAAAACAUAUAAAAAAUAAAAUAAAAUAAAAUAAAUAAAAAGUCCAAAUAACGUGUAGUCAUGUGAAAACAUAGUAAAAUUCACUAGCAGACUGGGAAAGCCAAGCAAAGUCAUUUUUAUCCAACAGGCAAAAAUUUAGAAAAAAACCUGUAAUAUCUGUGGCUGGCAUGUAUGUUAAGAAAAACAUACAUUGCUGAUAUAAACGUAUAAUUUCAUAACCUUCUAAGAAAGCAGUUUGGCAGUAUCUGUUAAUAUUAAAAAGACAUAUGCCUUUGACUCCGUAACUCCACUCUUGGAAAUCGAUACCAAAGAUAUUUAAAGUCUAGUUUGUAAAGAUGGGUAUUAUUUAGUGCAGCAUUGUUAGAGCGACAUAAAAGUAGACAUCCUCGGUAGUGGAAUGGCAGCUUAUGUUGUGAUAUAGUCACAUAAUGGAUUGUUGCUUUAAAAACAAGAAUGAAUUAGACCUACGUCAGAUGAGUUCAAGUGAGGUAGUGGUGAGGAAAUAUACUUUGGAUGGGCACAUAUCAUCUUCCCUACGUGUGUGUGACUGUGCCUAGGUCUGUCAAGCACUGUGAGUGCAUUAAAGACUAAGAAGCACACACACAGGUGAUGACAUUCCAUGGUGGGAGAGUAGCCAAAAGAAGGGAAGAAGAGGCAAAAGGAAAGGGGAAGCUGGUAAGGAACAGAGAAAAAAAGCAAGCACACUGAUAGGAUUAUAUGUAUGCAUCUAGGUAAAAUUAUGGAUCUCUGCGGGGAUGUGUGUGUGUGUGUGUGUGUGUGUGUGUGUGUAUGUGUGUAAAUUAAAAGUAAUAACAUCAGAGCUAAAAAUAAACACUUCCUUAGAAAAAAAUCUCUGACCCUUAACUAGUUGGAAGUAUGUGGUUUGUAUUCCCUUUCUUUUACAGUACAAAUUUGAACAGAAAUGUGGGAAAAUCAGUUGAAGCCAGAGUGGAAAUGGGAGGGGAGGAAAGAGAUCACAGAGUCAGAAUAAACAGCAUCAGUACAACUUGGGGUUCUGCACAGAACUGUUUGCUAUCCCGAUUGAGGGACGAGAGAAAGGAAAACUCAAUUAUCAUUCCUGUAAGUUAGGUGACAUGUAAUAACCACAAUUUCAUUACAUUUUAGGGAGCAGACUAUUAUUAUUAAUAUUUUUUAAUAAUGUGUACUUCAGGUGAGAACGGAAUCCACAGCUAAUAUUUUUCAGAGUAUUUUAAAAUCUGAUGAAAAUUUAUUUUUAUUUUUUCCCCUAGUUCAUUUAUCACUUUUGAGUGUGUGUGUGGCGGGGGAGGGGUGUUGGGGGGAUUGGUGUGGGUGUGUGUACAUGCACACAUUUGGACUAGAUUUGAUUAAAAUGCCCUUCACACCUUUGUAACGCAAUGAUGACUACCUGUGUGUCAACGUUAGAAGAUCUGUUCCCAGUUUAGCUCCAACUACCCAGGAACAUUUUUUAUCUCCUUUAUAGUCAAAUAUUUAGUGCAGAGAGGAGGGAGCAAAUCUUUGUCCCUGAAGUGGACUUGACUGAGGUCUGAGGCUCUUUCCCACAGACACUCAGAAAAUAGUUAUAAUAAUGGAAGUCUUAGGGAAGAUGAUAAGACGAGUGUCAGAUUGGGUUCCCAGGGAGAGUUUGAGUCACUGGGGCAGGACACUUUAUCCUGAGUGGGAAGGUCAGGGCCAUGACCACAGCAUCACCACCAUGAGCAAAUGAAGUCCUCCCUUCUUUUUCACAGAAGGCACUGUAUUUUGUUCCCUCAGUAAAAAAGUGGGAGAAGAGAGGCAUAGAAAAUUUACCUUUGGGAUAAAAAUCUAUAUAUUUUAAAAAUCAACACGUAUUCUAAAUCCUUCUUAGAGCUCACAAUGUGUACUUUCAGAGGUAAGCUGUAUUCCAGUAUGUGUAACCUAUAAUAGAUGUUAUUACAUUUGAGGAUUUCGUAUUUCCAAAUUUCCUGCAGAAACAAGGAAAGAAAAAUAACAAUAUUCCACAUUUACUCUUUGGCGUAUGAGAAAUCAGACACAUUUGUAAAUGGCCUUAAAAGACCAAUGAUAGAAGAUUUAUCCCGUUAGCUCUUUUGCGAACCCCAUGUCAUUCAGGGGGUGCCAUGACCGCCCAAGUUCUCAGGACAUUGGUAGGACCAGGACUGAAGAAAAAGAGCAUGUGUGACACUCAUGGGACUCAGAGAUUUUUCUCUCAAAAUGCAAUAUUUGUGGGGAACCUGGGUCGCUCCGUUGGUUAAGCAUCUGACUCUUGAUCUCAGCUCAGGUCUUGAUAUCGGGGUCGUGAGUUCAAGUCCCAUACUGGGCUCCAUGCUGGGCAUGGAGCCUACUUGAAAGAAAGAAAGAGAGAGAGAAAGAAAGAAAGAAAGAAAGAGAGAGAGAGAGAGAGAGAGAAAGAAAGAAGGAAAGGGAAGGAAGGAAGAAAGGCAACAUUUGUUUCAAUAGGAUUGAAUAAAACCAUGAAAAUUGGAUUUUAAAAGUCAUUGCAGUAAUGAGAAGAGACAAGAGUAUUAAAUGUGCAGUAGUAAUGGAAUGAGGCACAAAGUCUUUUUUUUUUUAAGAUUUUUUAUUUUUUUAUUUGAUAGAGAGAGAUGACAAGCAGGCAGAGAGGCAGGCAGAGAGAGAGAGGAGGAAGCAGGCUCCCUGCUGAGCAGAGAGCCCGAUGCGGGGCUCCAUCCCAGGACCCCGGGAUCAUGACCUGAGCCGAAGGUAGCGGCUUAACCCACUGAGCCACCCAGGCGCCCCACACAAAGUCUUACACAUACAUGCAGGUGUACCUCCAUUUCAGGAAACCUAGAAAGUAGAAGGAGUGAUUUAAAAAAAACAAAAAACAAAAAACAGGAAAAGAAUGCUUUGUAAAGAAUAAAAACACAUAAUCUCUUCAAAUAUUUCUCUUGAAGUGUUUGCACCACGAUUAGAUUUCUCAGCAAAGAUCAAUUUAUGCACUAAUUUAAAGAAUAUAGCUACUGCAUAGAGCAAGCUAUCGCUAUAUUAAAACACAGGACAUUGAGGAGGGUAUGUGCUUCGGUGAGUGCUGUGACAUGUGUAAACCUGGCAAUUCACAGACCUGUACCCCUGGGGCUAAUAAUACAUUAUAUAUUAAUAAAAAAAAUAAAAAAUAUUAAAAAACACAGGAAAAAGGUCACCUUACUUGUUUGCAGUUUGCAUUCAGUUCUUUAUUAUGUUCCUUUCUCUUUCCCUGUGACUUUAUGUCAGAUGAACAGGGACAUGCUAAGUGCUGGAGUUUCCUUUGUUACUAUCUUCAGAACCACAGCAUUUAUUUAUAAGCGAUCCUGCCUUUAUUUUUUAAUUUUUUAAAAGACGUUAUUUAUUUAUUUAUUUGCUUGAGAGAGAUAGCGAGAGGGAGAGAGAGGGAGCACAAGGGGCCUGAGGGGCAGAAGGAGACACAGACUCUCUGCUGAGCAGGGAGCCCAAUGUGGAGCUCCAUCUGGAGCCUCAGGAUCAUGACCUGAGCCAAAGGCAGAUGCUUAACUGACUGAGCCACCCAGGAGCCUGGUGAUCCUGCCUUUAAAUCAAGGUUUCUUUCUUUCUUUCUUUUUAAACACUUAAGAAGAUAGACUUUCUCAAAUGGUCCCAGAUUUAUCCGUUGAUUCCUGGGUCCUCUGAGUAGAGAAGAUGAACAGGAGAGCUAAUGCAUUUCCUUGGCCAAGACUCCCUGCACGUGAGCUACAGAUGGUCCCCACGCUUUGAUAACUGCAUUCAUUAGUUGCUGGCAGAACAUAACCAUCUUUGUGCGUUAGGUGGGACAUGUUAAUGAACUUGAGGAGGUGGGCAUGGCUGAAAAAUGUGCCUGAUCCUCUAUGGGGCCUUUUCUGUCUUUCUACCUCUGAGCCUGAAGCCAUGAAAAAUCAUGGAAGGAAUCUGGAACAGUGUUCAUUAUAGGUUUUGGAACCUGGAGCUGCAACUGUGAAAACAGGAAUUUUGUGGUGUUACUUUGUUCUACUUUGACAUGGGCCCCCUACUUACCCGGGGAGAGUCAUUCUGAGGAGAGACAUAUGAGCUAGAUUCCUUACCAACAAUCCCCCUCAAAGCAGACCUACCCAGUGAGCCCUCCAAGCAAAUGACAGGAUUUGUGAGCAGGUUCCUUGCUCCUUGGGCCCAACCACAGGAACCUAACAUGUGCAGGACAGCACCUCAAAGAUUUUCUUGCCAUUUUCUCAGUCCUGCCAUGGCUUCCAUGGGUCCAGGCUUCAUAUUUCUGGUUAUAGUGGAAAUCAGAGGGGAGGAAUGUCAUCCUCAAAGCCAUUAGGCAAAAAAGCUUUUCUGGAAGCUUCUUACUUGCCACCAUUAUCUAUAAGAGAAGCUAUAAAAUUAUUUCAUUUUUCCAGUCCCUUGAGAGGAGAGCGGCAGGGGCACUAGUAGCAGGGGCACUUCCAGUGGCGUGUGCUAGAAGUCCCUUCCAGCUUGGCCAUCCUGUGAGUCUGAAAGCACAGCCCUUACUGAUGGCACACUGAGGUCAUUCAUCCUGGACCCGGCCAUUUACAGGAUGAUAUCCAUUGCACAUAUUCUGCAUUCUUAACCACAUAAAAUAUUGGAUUAUCCUCCAAACUUCAAUAUUUCUAUUUCACUCAUUUCUUGAAUAGCGUUUCUUGAAACCCAGCUGGGGUGUCAGACUCUGAUGUGUUUUAAGAAUAAGAGUGACAUUAACAAUUCUCAGUUGGGGGUUCAAGAUUGGAGAGAGAGAGUUAGAGCCUGGAUUAGGGCAGCUGUUGUAACAAUGGAGAAGACGGAUGGGAUUUGAGGAACAUUUAGAUGGCAAAAUCCACAGGUCUGUGUGAGCAGAGGGGAGGAAAGAGUCAGGUAGCUCCCAGGCUGCGGAGUUGUAUGCUUAUGAUGACAGAGGCUGGCAACUCCAAAUGAGAUAAAGAAUGCAGGGAAAUUGGGGAAGAAAAGAUGAGUGUGGGAAGUGGUAAUGAUGAUACUGGCUCUCACUGAUAACUCACUCACCAGCACUGGGUACUGUGCAGAGGUUCUGUGUAUGUCCCAUUUAACCAUAGUCCCAUACACCUCUGGGUAUGGGACUAUGGUUAUCUCCAUUUUUCAGAUGAGAUGAGGAUUGGAGUGGUAUGAGUAAUGUACCUGGAGUCACAUCUGAAGAGUGCUGGGGUUCGCACUUGAACCCUGACAUUCUCUCCUAAUCACAAUGCACACUACCUCCACCAGGCAAAUAGUGGAGGCAUAAAUGUGAUUUGGUUUGUGCCUUCAGAGUUUGAAGUACUUGAAGGACUUCCAGAUAAACCUGUCCAAUAGACAGCCUUUGAAGUUUAGGGAAUCAGUUUUGAUUUCAUCCAUCGUAGAUGGGUAAAAUUAUUCAGAAAAAGUCAAUCAGAUAAGAAGCAGACCGAGGUUCUUGUUCCCUGAGAGCAAACAGCUUUUAAGGAAUCAGUUCAGGAGCUGGAGCCCCUGGAGGAGACAAAGACCACAUGAUUGGAUAAACAAGGAAAAUCAGGGAAUGCAGGGUCACUAAAGCCAAGAGAGCUGGGUGUUUGAAGUAGAAAGGGUGACCAGCUUUAUCAAAUACAACAAGGAGAGGCAGUGAUGUAAGAACUUCCCACUGGACUCAGCCGUCAUGGGGACACUGGUUACUCAGGGACAAACCAAACUUUAAUGGUUUGAAGGUAAAUGAGAUAUGAAAAGUGGACGUGGCAAAUGUGGACUAAUCUUUUUGGAAGAGAAGAACAGACAAUUUGAAUAGUAACUUGGGAAGAAUGUAGAUAGAGAAGGUGGUGUCUUGGUUUGGGUGUUUGUUUUAGGAUUGAAGGUAGUUUAAUGUGUAUGGAGGCCUGGGUAACAGAGCCAGUAGAUGAAGAAUCCUGAAGAUUCAGAAGAAUCUCUGGGUGGCUGAGGCAGAAUGCUGGAGGAGGUGAAGAGGCAUGGAUGAAGGAUUGUCCGGGAAGAAGAAUCCCUGUCCUCUGAAGGUGUUGGGAAAGACGCAAGAAAGAAUGUGAAUGUGUUAGGUGGAGGGAUGGGAACUGAUCAUCAGGCCUGAUGACCUCAAGUAUCUCAAAGACGUUGGAGGUGAGCAGGUGCGGCAGGAAUUGAGAAGAGCCAAGACCAUUUCUUGUAUCUGAGAGCAUAACCAAGACAUUUAAGAUCUUUGUUCCCCUACAGAUUUUUGGUUCAGAAAGUCCAGAUAAAAUCAUUAUCUGUGAAUUUCAUGGACAGAGCACAAUUUGUCUGCUGAGAGAUUUCUUGCCCCAAAUCAUGAAGCUGGUAAGAUGUAGAGAAAUAUUUCUUAGCCAGUGCUCUCUCCACUAUUUCAUGCUGUGUUUUAAUAAAAAUAGGUUACCCAUUCCAUCAUUUUGAAGAAUCAUUUAUAUGGGAUAACAUUUCAGAUUUUUCCUUCUGUGUGUUUCUGCAUUGACGAUAAGUGUGUUCAUUUUUAAGCUCUGUGAAGUGAUGAAUAAUGGCAUCUAAGAAAGUAGGACAGUGUUUCCCAGAGUGUGUUCUCUAUGAACACGUGUCAUGUGAAAGACUCCUUAAAAAAAAAAAAAAAAAAGUUCCGUGGUCAAAUGCAUUUAGGUCAUGCUGUGUUUUGUGGCUUUUCUUGGAGAAUCCCAACACACCUUAGUAUAUUAAAGGCUCUGAGGAGGCACAGGGUCAAAAAGUGAAUCUUCUUUAGCCUCAUGUGUCUCAAAAUUGUUUCACUACAAACAUUACUCUACCAUGUUUUUAUUUUCAUUACGCUCUUUAGUAAAACAUACAACUCACUCUAGGAGAUGCUGAACUACUGUUACAGAUUACCUUAAUUCUGCAGAAUACUGUAGUCUGUGUAUUAAGGUAACUUAAUAUAUUAUCUGGUUUUUUUUCUUCUUCUUUAGUACUUUAGCUUUUGUGCCAACAUUAAAAUAACUCUAUAGGGGCGCCUGGGUGGCUCAGUGGGCUAAGCCACUGCCCUUGGCUCAGGUCAUGAUCUCAGGGUCCUGGGAUCGAGUCCUGCAUCAGGCUCUCUGCUUAGCAGAGAGCCUGCUUUCCUCUCUCUCUCUCUCUGCCUGCCUCUCUGCCUACUUGUGAUCUCUGUUAAAUAGAUAAAUAAAAUCUUUAAAAAAAUAAAUAAAAUGAAAUAACUCUAUAAAUUUGGCACUUCUACUCAGUAAUUUUCUUUUCAUAAAGGAUUACUUUACUUUGUUUUUUACAUUUAUAUAUUAUUUGCCAGAUUUUUGUUUGGCUUCUGUAAUCAUAAAGUUGAUUUACUUUCCUUUCAAACGUGUUUAUUAGAUACUCACUGAAUACCUUUCAUGUGCAAAGCACUGAAUUGGGAUUAGAGUAUUAAUAUAUGUUCAUCCUCUGAUCUUAAAGAGUCUGGAGGGGAUGGCCUGCACACUAGAAAUUGAACUGAAUACAAAUCUCUUGGGCACAGUGCUUGGGAAGCACACUGGGAGAGAGAUUGACUGUGUGACUAGUUAGAAGAGUCCCCCAGGAAGAGUUGGAUCUUAUUACAUUCCCAAUGUAAUGGGAAAACAUAUGUCCUAGAAAAAAAAAUGUAAAGUUUAGUGAAGAAAGAAAACUUGGAAACAUAUUGAAGGCGUCAUACACCUUGAUUCAAAAUUUAUAUAUUAUUAUAUAAGCAACCAGAAGCCUCUAUGGAAGAGUUUUUAAAAGGAGUAUAUUAAAAAUGUCUAAGUGUUUGCUUUUUAGCUUACUGUGGCAGAGCAUGAAAGAUAAACUGAAAGGCUGAGAUUGCUGUCAGGGACAUCAGUAACAGACUUAGGGAGAGGAAGGAAUCUUAUUAAUAGAUGACAGGGUAAAUGUGCAAUACAUCAUUCUAUAUGAUAUUUCCCUCUUUUUAAAAAAUAUUUACCUUUAUAACAAGAGGUAGUGAUUUUGUAGCUUGUUUGUUUUUUGGGGUUUUUACAUGGUCAAAUAAGACUCACCUGUAAUAAAGUAAUGCGCUAUGGUCUGAGGAAAAGGUAUAUGCCUCCGUGACUGACCCUCUUCUGUGCAUGUGGACAUUUCAGGGAUGACAGCUCCUCUGGUAAAGGGUCCAGGAAGCAAUACAGUGGUUGGGGAGGGUUUGGAACCGGCAGACCCAGUGAGAGUCCCUGUUCCACCACUCAGAGCAACAACAGAAUCACAGAUCCCCCGAGUUACAUUUCCUCACCUGAAAACAUUUACUUCUAGCAGCUAUUUAUGGAUUAAAGGAGAUAAUAUAUAGGAAAGUACCUUCUUGCCUUCUUAUUCUGGAAACAAUACUGGGAAGCAGGGAGGAUAGGAAUAGGCCUCACUGAAAAUCUGGAGACCAGAGUGCAUAGGGAUUAAGUGACUGACCCAGGGCUGUGCAGGGAAGGGGAAGUCCCCUGUCCCCAACUUCCUCUUAGAUGAUCAGAAUCUUAGCCCAGUGGUCUGUCCACAUUGGUCCUAUAAAAGAAGGCCAGGAGCACCCAGGUGGCUCUUUUAAGCAUCCGACUCUUGAUUUCAUGAUCUCAGGGUUGUGAGAUCCAGCCCCUCAUAGGACUCCGCAAUGGGCUUGGAGUCGGCUUGAGAUUCUCUCUCUUCCUCACCUUCUGCCCACCCAACCCCACUCAUGCUAUUUCUCUCUCUCUCAAUCUCUCUCUUAAAUAAAUAAAUAAAAUUUUUAAAAGAAGGCAGACACACUGUGAAGAUUAUAAUCAAAUAAUAAAAUUAAUCCUUUUACAUUUUUUUGGUAGAUUAAUCCAUUUAUACUCCUCUAAGCUUCUUAUUUGUCUCCCUGUGAAUGGAGAUUUGCUGAGGCCCUGGUUUAGCCUGACUCUAGAUAUGACUGACUCCUAAGCUUUCUAUGAAAUCAAUUUCUCUGCUAUUAUAUAUUGCCCUAGUAAUGCCCCCACCUACCCUGGGUUUGAAGAGAGAGCAGUGAGAGGGAAGAUGGCAGGGUGAGCCCUCAAAAUGUCUGCAGUCAGGACCAUUGGCACUGAGUGGGGUCCUCUGAGGAAGGAUGUGCUGUCAAAAAGGCAAAUAGGAGGCCAUUCCUCCCUCUUUUCUCUCCUGUUAGCCAAGCAAAGAUAAUGACCAUUGAACCUCCAAACAAAAAUAUCCAGUAUUUACAACAUCCAUGCUGACAGCUUAAUUAAUCAAAUAGGAACACUGACAACUCACAGGCCAAGUUCUGCUGGGAAUUAUUUGCCUACAGUUCUAGCUGAAGUGACAGAAGCUGUUUUGUCUCAAAGUAGGAGGACUCGACAUCCGUAUUUUAGUGCAAGAGACCGGUGAGGAGUCCCCUCGUCCCUGCCUUGUGACCCACAUCCCAUCCUGCAGAGCUGGAGGUUCGAAGUGUAGCCUAGGAUUUUGAGGGUAAUAGAGUCACCCGUGUGUUUUAUAACAUCAAGUAUGCUGUGUGACACACUCAUAAGAGACAGUGGAGGUUGGAGUGAGAAUCCUGCAUAGAUACCUGACUUCCUCCUCCUUCUCCCUCUUUUUUCUUCCCCUAAUUUGCCAUUGCCCUCGCUGCCCUCUCUUUUUGUCUUCAUGCCGUGUUUUGCAUUGACCUCUUUCACCUGUGAGAAUUCACAACCUUGACUAAUUAGCACCCACAUAAUUGAAACUGUACAUGACCAGAAACCUCUGGUCUGAACUCAGGGCUUAUUCAGCAUGGGCAGCGCCUGGGCUCUUCCACGUAAAUUCUCAGACAUUCUUGCAGUAUGUGAAGUUAAAAAAGGAGAGGGAAAACAUUUAAUGAAAAUUAAUGUGUCCAGUCGGCUGCCUUGCUCUUAAGUCUCCAAUCUGUGAAAAGAGAGAUAGUGUCCAAGUGGAAUGAAAAUCCACUGAAGAAUGGAUAAAAAUGGACUAAUUACUCAUAAUCUAUGCCAUCUCAUUACUCUGUGAGUGUGUUUCAUGGACUGACGAGGGACUGACUGGGAAGCUCUUGGAACUCCUUAGUGAUAGUUGCUUGCUAAUAAGAUGACCCAAUUACCAGGCUUAUUUUGAAUAUCACAACUAUAUAGGAAAGCUAAAUCCUUACAGUAUUCCUUAAGGCAGUAUAACCUUCAUAAAGCAUUACUAUAGCAGCAUCCAGAGCCAGACAGCUGUGGGAUGACCACAGGUGAGCUAUAAAUAGCAGCACCUCUCCCUUUCUAUCCUUUUCACCUUUUAUUUCUUCUCAGCAUCUCAGCCUUGUAAUGUUUUCCAUCCUUUUCAUGUCAUUUCUCUUACUCCUCAUCUCUGUCUCUUUCUGUUUGUCUCUUGCUCUCACUCUUGUUCUCUCUCUUGUGCAUACAUACACAUAGUCUUAUGGGUGGAUAUUUUGGUAUUUACCCAUUAGGGGAGUAAUAAGGGUUAUCCUGAGGAGCUGGGUACAGCAAUUUGUGUGUGAGCCUUCAGGAAGCGCAGUGGGAUGCUCUGAAUGACUGGCUUAUCUCUGGCUAAAGUGAGUUUAACCACCUAGAGGCUCUUUGGCUGCACUGUUGAAGGUUCUUUGUGGGGCCUUGAUGUGGCUUCUUUUAUUUCCCUAUUUCCUCUCCAUUUCUGUUUAAGUGUCUUUAUAAUAUCUCAUGUCAUACUAGUUCAGUGAAUUUCUGAUGCAGAAACCUCCACUGUGUCUGGCACUGUGUGAGAUGCCAUGGAAGAUUUAAGACACCAUCCCUGUCCUUAAAGAGCUUACUGUGGUUGGGGUGAGAAUUCCGCAAUUAAUAAACACAACCAGGUAGUAUAAAAUCUAUUUCCUUACCAGAAAUGUGUGAGAGAGGCGGGCAGACAGGAGGGACCUAGGCUAGAGGUAAAGGGUGAGGUCUUGGGAAAAGGCAAGUAAGUUCUUAGGAUGGAUGUUGAGGAACUGGGAGUAUCACAAAAGGGACAGGAAGUACAUAACUUCCAGGCUGGGAGGAAGGCAUUCUUGGAAGCCUAAGUGUAUUUUCUGCUGAUGUACACAUAUUUCUAAUGAGAAGAGGAAUCCUGAACUGAAUCAGUUCUCACAGCUGUAUUUGGUUUGGGCACCACUGGUUCUUGAGGGUCCCAGAGUUUCAUGGAGUUUGCUGGGCUAUGGAGACCCAUUCUGACAAGCCCAUUAAGGAUGCACUUACCUAUGGAGUCAGCCUCUGGUUAUUGUUUGCUUAGUGAAUGUUUUCACUAACUAGAAUUCAGAGUUUUUCCACUGAGUCUUCUGCAGGGGUUUGUAGAGGUGAGCUGUGACAUCUGGAUUCUCCACACAGCAGAAUCAUUAUCGCCACUAAGCAAUCCACUUCAUCAUGUCAGAUUAAAACACGAGCCCUGAAAAACUAUCUUUUGUCAAAGAUCAGAAUCUCAUUAACAUGAUCGAAUGCAAUUAAGUCACCAUUAGCUUUCAAGAGAAGUUUAAAAGGGGCUCAGUAAAUGGUGGAGGUCUCUGUGCACAUGAAGGCUCAAGAGACUUGGGUGAUAUCCGCAUCCCUUUACUUUACCACCCAAUAUGCCUGUAAGGGGAGGAGAGAGAAUGAUAUCUACAAUCCAUAUUUUCCUAAUAAUCUAAAGAUGAUCAAAUUCUCAUACUUCAAACUGAGAAACCAAGUACACUUUAAAAAUAAAGGCUUCCAGAAAGGAAUCUGUAGAAUGAUAAUAAAAUGGAUUAUAGUAAAAAUAGAUUUUCAGUCUCAUUCAUUCAUUCAUGCAUACUUUAUGUUCACCAGCAUAUGAUUACCACUGCUGAAUCUAUAGUCAGGUAGAGAGGCUGCUGCCUAUAUGAUGCCAUGAAAGGUAUUCUAGCAACAGGAUGUUGAAUUUCUCCAUUGUAUUUACUCGUUCAAAUUAAUGCAUAAUAUCUGAAGCUCCCUUAGAAAAAUGAAAAUACUCUGUAAGGAUGGAUAAUAUUAUCCAUCUGACCUGUUUGCAAAUUUGUACAAAUAGGCUCUGCAGAAUAACUAGCUGACACUCUGCGGAGAGCAAUGUCCUGAGGAAACAAGAUAUUCUGACAGUAAAUAUUGAGAAAAAAGAUGAAAAGCUUUGGAAGUCAGGUAUGAAGAGAUGCAGGAGAAUAGGGUACCAUAAGUUGAAAGUGUGUGGAAUGAAAGAGAUGGAGGGUUGAGCUUAUAUUCAAGGCAGAAACCAACCAGGAGCUGAAGGAGGAAGAGGCGAGCCCAGGAGUGCUGCCCACCAAGCAGUUAGGAUUGGCUGCUCUGAAAAUCAUGCCUCUCUAAAUGUUUUACUCUGUGUACUUGCUCAUUGUUAAAUGUGAAGCAUUUCAAAGCUUGAUGCUUUUCAUAGAAUCACAGAAUCAUAAAUAUUUGGGCACUGGAAAGUAGCAUAGCCAUCACUUUGCCCAACUAACUGUUUUAUGGGUCUGGAAACUACCCAUGACCAAUAAAGUCUUCAAAUGCUUUCUUGCACGAGUUCAACCCGGGGCCUGGUAGAGCAAAGUGGAUCACAGCUAGAGUGGCCCUAUAAAGCAUCCUCCAAGCCAAGACACUUUUGAGAGGGGAUGAGUGACUAAAUAGAUGAGAGGCUAAGAAAAUAGGCAUCAUCUGGGGCUGUCCUUGGCAAACCUUGGAUAUAUGAUUGCUAAAUCAGAGCUGAGGCAAGAGGAAACUACUAGAAAAUCAGAGGUAUAUAGAGAGGAAAACAGAACAGUCUAAUAAUGUUAAAAAAAAAGUGGAAUGAGUGUCCAAACAGGGCACAGAAAAACCAUUUCAGAUGGGGAAGAUGUGAUGAGCCAAGAGCAUUUGACUGAAUGUGGUGCCAUGUUAACAUGGCUUUGGAAGUGCACACUUGGGAUGGUGAGUUCCUCCAGCAUGGUGAGGUCAAGCAGGGACAUCCAUUCAAGAUGAGGCAGAGCAAAGGAAAGGAGACCCAGCAACCGGAAGUGAACAUAUAGGCACAGAGCUGGAAGCAUGCCCCAGUGAGCUAUCUGAGACAUAGUGUGGGCUCCUUUGCACUUCCUCACUACAGGAGCAAAGAGACCUGAGCUACUGCUGGAGCUGAGGCAGAAGGCAGCCACUUUUGCCACCCAGAAGAUGAGAGCUAAACCUCUCUCUAGAUCUCUUUUGGAGCUGCGCAAGAUAUUACCACAGUCCUCUAUAACCCCUCAGGGUUCUGGGAGGCCUUAGCUGCCUUGAGUUCUCUGGAUGUUUAAUCAGAUCACCUGGGAGAGUCCUAGGACUGGACAGGGAGAGUAACAGAGACUUGGAACAAAUAGGGGAAUAAACAGGCCAUAGUCCGUGAGUGUGGUUCAACAAGUGUGGAACCCCCAGUCAGGUCUGCCAUCAUUCUCUCUGUGUGUGGUCUAGCUAUAGGAGGAAGUUACAGUUAUAAUCUACCUUUCACAUGUGAGGAAACAGAGGCAGUGGUCUUGAAAAUGUAUUGGGCAGUUCAGAAAUCUUUAUGUUGGCACUACCUUUGCACUUGCCUUCCUUGGCAGCACUUGGUCACCAAACAUCUCGACACUAUACCCCAUGAAAUUAGCCUUUGGCAACAUUCUAAAGGGACUGGUCCCAGCUAACAGCUAAUGGCAAGAUUCUAUAAACCCAUUCUUGUUAAAAUUCAAAUAUUAACUAUCACCUCCAUAUUUAUUUUUCAUGGAAAUAAUUUAAAUGAAUACAUUGUCGUAGUUGAGUUCCAUUCAUUGUGUACAAUUUGGAGAUGGGGAUGGGUUCCUAUCUUUAUUUCCCAUUCAGUGAACCCUGUAUCCUCCCAAGAUCUUUCCAGAUCCCAACUUCAGCAUUAGGUCAGAAAUGCUAGGACCAGCCAAUAUUCAGAAUCUGAAUUCUACUGAUUCCUCUUCGAAGGAAGAGACUACCUAUGAGAAACUUGGUUAAGGUAUAGUCCUGGCAGGACAGCCCUAAGGCAGGCCCUGAGUGAGGCAGAGGGGAUAGAGAAGAGAGAUGAGACAUUACUAUUGGCUGAAUUUUUUUUCUCUUGUCCAUCCACCAAACUCCUAUAUUGAAGCCCUAACCCCCAACGGGAUGGUCUUUGUUGCUGGAGCCUUUGAGAGAUAAUUAGGAUUAGAUGAGGUCAUGAAGUUGGGGCCUGAUGAUGGGAUUUAUAUCCUUUUAAGAAGACAGAUCAGAGCCAUGUCUCCCCACACCAUGUGAAGUAUGAUUUAUAUGACACCAUAAACCUGGCCUUCUGGGAGCUCCAUCAUCCCUAUUUCAUUGAUUUACUAAGUAACCAUCCCUGUAUUGAUUUCUUCAGACUUGGACUCUGUUUGCAUUAUUAUGCAACAGGCUGAGCCCUUCAUUGACAGUUUGUUCCUCAUCACCCAGUUUUGUAUUCUCCUAGAGCUGAUGCUUCUUGAGGGGAAAGGCUGUAUUUGCCUGUUGUUAAUAAUAGGCUAUUGCCUAGUGCAGGGCAGUCAAGAGGGUAUCCCUUUGGCACAUACUUUUGCUGCCAUCUGCAAGGUAAGAAGUGGGUUCUCACCAGGAACCAAAUUUGCCUGUGUCUUGAUCUUGGACUUUCCAGCCUCCAGAACAGUGAGAAAUGAAUGUCUGUUGUUUAAGCCAGCAGGUCUGGUAUUUUGGUACAGCAGUCCCAACAGGCUGAGAUAGACACCAUAGAAUGAGAAUCCUUGGGGACUGAUCCUUCUUGCCAUCCAGGGGCUAAUGGAGUAUGUGCAGCCCUGUGUGCUGUGGUAUUGGCCCAGAGAGAAAUACACAUGCAGGAAAUUUUGGGGGGAAGCACCUUCUCAGCACGAUGCUAUCAACUCUUCCAUUAAAGUUGUUAUGCUUUCCAUCUGGACUUAUAAGAAUGAAUGCUUGUUCAAGUCCUGUUUCCUUGACUGAGAAAACAUAAAGGCAAUAUAUCUUUCUGUUUCCAUCCCCUAACUGGCUCCCAAAGAGAGAAGCCAUGUUUGAUGUCCAGCAUCUCAAAGUUGGUUUUGUUCACCGGAAAAUUAGUGCACAGGAUAGACAAGAGCCCUUAGUAUUUGAAGCAAUUAAUUCCACAGAAAGAGACAAAAACAAACUUUCUAUGACUAAAAUGAUGGACAUGAAGUAGUGGAGACAGCUAGUUUGGCAUUUUCCAUCAAACAACUUUUUUAUUUGUGCAACAUAUUUCUAAGUGAUAGAAAGUGACACACUGUCUCCAUUACACUUCAUUUCCGUCAUUUCAUUUUUUUUCUAACUUUCAUAUUUGUGAAACAAAUUGCUUUAAACAUGUCAAAGACACUUGAGUGGAGUGUUAGCCAAAUUUUAAAAAUAAAGAUGAUUCAUAAAGACAGCAUUUGUGUUUAUAACCACCGAGAUAAAAUUUCAAGAAAAAAAAAUCACAGUCCUGAUUAUUUAGGGCACAACUAUAAGGUAAUCAUCUUCAGAAGUUAGAAAGAAAUCUCUUUGCUCUCUGCUUCACUUCCCCUAGAUUUAUAUGACACCGUAAACCUGGCCUUCUGGGUGCUCCAUCAUCCCUAUUUCGUUGAUUACUAAGUAACCGUCCCCAUAUUGAUUUCUUCAGACUUGGACUCUGUUUGCAUUAUUAUGCAACAGGCUGAGCCCUUCAUUGACAGUUUGCUCCUCAUCACCCAGUUUUGUAUUCUCCUGGAGCUGAUGCUUCUUGAGGGGAAAGGCUGUAUUUUGCCUGUUGUUAAAAAUAGGCUAUUGCCUAGGGCGGGGCAAUCAAGAGGGUAUCCCUUCGGUGCAUACUUUUGAAGAAUUGAUAUUGGAGUUCCAAAGAGAGAAAGAUCCAUGAGUAUUGCUCUCUUUAGAAAAAUUGGAAGACCUACAUCACUGAUGAUAUUAAAAAAAAAAAAAGAAAGAAAGAAAGAAGAAGAACAUGGAUAAUUGUACAAAUAACAGGUAUAUAUGUUGUUCUGUUGCAAAAAAAAAAUUAAGACUUUAUUUAUUUGAGAGCGAGCGAGCAUGUGUACGAGCAGGAGAGGGGGCAGGGGGAGAGGGAGAAGCAGACUUUGCACAGAGCCUGGGGUUUAAUUCCACGACCCGGAGAUAAAGAAGUCAGACACUUUACCAAAUGAGCCAUCCAGGCCCCCCCGUGAAAGUCUUUUCUUUUUUUAAUUUUGUAACAAACUACACUAACAAGUGUACAAAUUAACAAGAAUAGUACAAAAUGGGGUGUCUGAGUGGCUCAGUCGUUAAGCCUCUGCCUUUGGCUCAGUCCUGGGAUCAAGCCCCACAUUGGGCUCCCUGCUCAGCAGGAAGCCUGCUUCUCCCUCUCCCACUCCUCCUGCUUGUGUUUUUCUCUCACUGUGUCUUUCUCUCUCUCUGUCAAAUAAAUAAAAAAUAAAUAUAUUUUCAAAAAGAAUAGUACAAAACACUUUCUUUUCAGAACCGUUAGAGAGCUGUCAAUCUGUUGUCCCAUGUCUUUACAUUCUCCUAUAUAACCCUCAAAAUCAGGAAAUUAACAUUGUGCAGUUAUGAUCAUCUCAUCUUCAGACUCCAUUUGAGUGUCAUUACUUACUUGUCUUGACUUUCAUUACUUGACACCUUUGAAGCACACAAAAGCAGUCAAUUUUGUAGAAUGCCUCUCAGUUUGGGUUUCUCUAAUGUGUCCUCGUGAUUGCAAUGUGGUUAUGCAUCUCUGGCAGUAAUACACAAAAGUGGUUGGCAUUCUUUUCAGUGAAUCCUAUCUGGUUGCACAUGAUUUUUUACAGACCCCAUUACUGAUGAUGUUGACUCUGAUCUCUUAAGGAAAGCAGUGUUACAGGUUGGUGUUUUAGUCUAUUCGGGCUGCUCUACAGAGUGCCGUAGACAGGGUGGCUUAUAAACAAUAGACAUUUACUUCUCGCAGUGCUGGAGGGCUGAAAAGUCCAAAAAGCAAGGUGCCAAUAGAUCUAGUGUUUGAUGAGACCCUACUUCUGGUUCAUAGACAGGUAUCUUCUUGCUGUGUCCUGACGUGGUGGAAAGGGUAAGGGAGCUCUCCAGGAUAUCUCUUACAGGGGCACAAUUUCCAUUCAUGAGGGCUCCAUCCUUGUAGACUAGUUGUCUUCCCAAGGACCCCCCUCCACAUACCAUCUUAUUGAGGGUUAGAUUUCAACAUAGAGUUUGGGGGAUGGGGAUAUCAGCAUUCAGUGUAUAACAGUAGGGUUCCACUGGAAGUAAACUUUGAAAUUAGUAGGAAAGAAGUUGAAUACAGAAUGCUCUUGGGAAUACUUGGGCAGAGGGAGAGGAUGAGCCUUGAGCAGUCCUAACAAAGGCCAUACCUGAUCUCAUGGAGAGUUUUGGAGCUAGAACAGGUCUUCAGAGGCAAUUUUCUUCAGCUUUGGCAAUUCCCAAAGAGAACUGACCCACCAAGAACCAUUUUCUGGCAUCACUCCCAGCAACUCCAGGCAGUACAUCUCAGAACCGAACCCAGUGAUGUCUGUCAGGGGUCCCUACUGCAAAGUUAUUUUUUUCCCCUCCUUUGUAGUUAAUAAGUAUUUUAUAAGAAAUUACCUUGAGACUCUGAAUUUAUUUCAUUCAUCAUCAAAACUUUUACUGAUAGAAUGAUUGAUGCCUGUAUGAAUUCAUAAUUUCCUCUUUUAAUUAAACAGGUUACUAUCAUUAAUUAAUUUGAUGUUCAAAUUAUCCUAGAUUUUGCCAGUUGGAAGAUCCUCCAACUGGCUUCCAUGUCCUUCCUUCCUUAUUUUCUGGCACAACAGGAUGUUUCAGGCUCAUUCUUAUGUUCUCCCUGCCCCAGUCCUAAAAUCAACCAUUUCUCUGAGGAGUCCUGCUUCCUUUUAAUAAAAAAGUAAUAUUUAGAAGUCAUGAUCUGAAUCCUGUGUGGGCUCACUGCUAUUUUACCACCUGUCAGUAUUUCCCAAUUGAAUGUAGGUUUAUCUCACUCAUUGUUUUUGCUUCUAUGAAAUAUCUAUGAUGAUCCUGACCCCUGACUCCUGACCUUCAUAACAUUUCUCAUCCUUGAGGUUUCUUCUAAUUUAUACCCAAAGAGACUUGAAUGAGUAUGGUAUAUAGGACAGAAAAUAAUAUCACUCAUAAACUGAUACUUCAUGAAACUUCACAACAUGACAACUGUGUGCUUUGUGUUUGUGUUAGCUUCUAUGACUGCUGUAACAAAUGAUUAUAAUCUUAGGGGCUUAAAACAAUACAAAUGUAUUAUUUUGACAUUAAGCAUAAUGAUAAUGACUGAUCAAGGUGUAAUUAUACUUUAACCAAGAUCCUUAUACCCAAUCUUUUCCCUCAGGGAGGAAUCAGUGAAAUUCAUAUCCAGGCCUGGCAUCUGGAAAGGUCUUGGAAGGAUACAGUGUCCACUGAAUGGGAGGUGAAAACAGGAGCCCAUCCCUCUCUCCAAGUUGUGUGCCAUAACAAUAUAUUCAUUUUAAAAUAUUAGGGAACUAAUUCCAUAAAGAGUGAAUUUGGAGAUGAUAGGAAGUGUAACUAGUCUUAUCAGAUAUUAAAAUUUUAUCAAAAGUGGAUUUAUUAGACUCUUGGUAUUUACUAUUAGCUGAGACCAGUUCCCUUAGAAUGAGUAGCCAAAUGGCUGUUUUUAUUAGGUAUAGUGUGGAGUUGUUUGGUCUUCAGGAGCUGUUGGGGAGGCAGGCCCCGAGGAAGUCCUAAAGUGAGGAUUCUUUGGCUCCUCAGCAGUAUGAAACUUCAGAGCAUAUGCCCUGAGUUUGGGGUUAAACUUUGGAGUUCAGGAGUAGUGACAGAUGUUUUUGACAAAAUUCCCUCAUAGUGCCAAUUUCCAAAGGACAGGACUUGGAUGUCACUCAAAGUGGGCCAACUUGCACACCUUUAAUCCACAAAUAAAGAGAAACUUGAAAGUUACCUUUAUUUUAAAAAUUUUAGGCAAAUCAGUGGGCAACAGGUUGCCAGAGAAAAUGAGAGAAGACUGGAAUAUCUUGGGCCUUGGGGAGACAAUAGCCUUCUUCCACAGGCAUCUCUAAGCAGGGCUUCACUGGUCCAACCUACGAUAUGGUUCCUUUACAUCCUUGUGUUUAAACAAGGUCUUCUUCAUGGUCACUUAUGUAGUUGAUUAUGUCAUUGUCAUGAAAAUCAGGCUAAAGUACAGUUCUUUUUAUGAUGCCCCUAAAUGUAAGCAGUGAUUAGCUCAUGAUGCAACUAUGAACAUCUAUAAUAAGCAAAUGAACACCCACACUUAAAGGUACAUAGGAUGUAAUAAAAUGCAACACUUGUCAUUCUUUGUGCCCAUCUCUCAAGUUCUACUUUUUGUUGUUAUGUCUUUAAUAAAGUUGUUCCUGCCUCCACCAUUGAUUCACUGCUCUAGAUCUGUUAGCGUCAUGUGGCAUUAGACUUCCGACUGGAAUUACAAUCUAAACUUGGUGUUUGAGUAUAAACUUACUGAGUACAAGAAAUAUAUCAUCUACCUCUCAUAUACUACCUUUGUCAAUUCCAGGUAAAGUGAUAGGACUUUGCUUAUAGUCAGCAAUUUAUAAAUAUCUGUUUACAUAAAUGUUUAUUGAGUAUGUAUUGUUGAUAUCCACCUGCAGACCAACACCAAAUGGACUGCAUCUCAUUGCCUAGAAUAUUUCUAUGCUGAUUUUUGCUCUGUCAGCAGUUGGUUUGAUUUCUGGCAAUGCAAACUCAUUUAACACUUGCUUUUAUGAAUUGCAUUCAUAUAUUUGCAUUCCAAAGACAGACAAAUAUUUUUGUUAGAUUACAAUGAUUUGUCCUUAUUCCCAUCCGCAAUGGCAUUAAAUUAUUAACAAGAAUUGAAUGUUUUAGUGACAAUUUCAUCAGAGGAUGGCUUUGCUUGGAAGAUAUUCAGCUAAACUUUUGAUCCUAUCCUUGUUGGCUAAUGACACUGUUUUUGAAGCCAGUUGCUAUUAUUUUAGCUAAAUGAGUCUUUCUCAUAGGACCCACAAGCCUAAGUCUGCUUACAUGAUGGAUAUAGCUCAAACAAAUGGAGUUUUGGCUCCAUACAAUUACCAUUUGCUGGGGAAAUCCAGUUCUUGUAGUAGGGAAUUUUUGUGGCAUGCUCCCUGAGGCUGAUUGAGAAGAUAAAGGAGGUAGGCAUCAAAGCUGCUAGCCAUCAUACCUCCAGUCAGUGAUCCCCACUUUUAAUGCAAGUGUAUUUUUCUGCCCUCUCCAAACCUGGCUUGGGUUUCCAGAGCCCACGUUGAGGGUGGCAGAACCCCAGGAAAAGGUGGAAUCAUCCUUUAUCCCUCCCUUGAAAGUGUUGCUAACAGUUGGAGUGAAAAGGGGGAAAUAAAGCCCAAAACCCUGACAUGCAUUUUGGUUUAUAAUCAUGAAAUACAUCAAAGUACAAUAAACUAGUCAUUGUGGCAUCAACAUUUUAGCUCUCUCCUUGACAUUGUUGAAAUCUGGAGGAUUUAAACUUCAAUGAAUUGGUAAAACAAUAGACCCUCAUUUAAAUUCAUGCUAGGGAAGGACUAAAACUUGCUCUAGAAACAAUUAUGAUGUAGACAAACUUUGUACUCCAAAUAGCCACAUUUUUGUACCAUAUUCCAUGAGCAAGUUUCCCCAUGUUUAAUGUCCACUUGUCUUCCAGCUGUGAAACAAGCUUUAAGGAAAGUUAUGGUAAUCAGGUUUCAUAUCACAGAAUAAUGAAUGUAAGCAAACUUCCCAGAGAUAUAAACAUUUUAGCACUAUCUCUGAUUUGUUCUCCAUUGGGAGGAUUUUUAUUAUUGAAAGGCAAAGUGGGAGUAUUUUAGGAUGUCAAGAGGUCUUCCUAAUCUUCUAGAUUGUUCUCCUAUAGUCUUCACACAGCAGCCAAUGUGAUUUUUAGGAAUAGCUCAAGACAAACAAUGUGUUUUAUCUAGUGAUUUCUUUUCUCUCUCAGAAUAAAUUCCAAAGUCCUGACAUCAACUUACAAAGCCUUACUUGAUGCCCUGACUGUCCCUUACCUCAUCUCCUAUUGCUCUUUCCAAUAUUCCUUCUGCUCUAAGGCACAGCAGUCUCUUCAAGCAUACUAAGUAUCACCUUCCUCAGGACCUUUGCACUUACUGCAGUGCUCUUCUCCAGAUGUUUGCAUGGCUUAUUUCUUCUCUUCUUUUACAUCUCUGCUCAAAUGCCACCUUACCAGAGAGCCCUACCUAGUCUCUCUCUCCAAAUCAGCACCCUAACCCCAUUAUUUUCUGUACCCUUAAGCUGUUUUAUUUAUUUUCACGGCAUUUACUUCCAUUGAUAUGUAUAUAUUUAUUUUUCUAUUGUCUGUUUCUCCCCACUAAACUAUAUGCUCCAUGAUCCUAUCUGUGUUGAUGUCACUAUAUUCUCAGUACCUAGAGCAGUGCCUGGCAUUUUUUUUUUAUGUUUUUAAAAUAGUUUAUUUAUUUAUUUGAGAGAAAGAGAGAACACAGGCAGGCAGAGGGGCAGAGGGGCAGAAGGGCAGAGGGAGAGGGAGAAGCGGGCUCCCUGGAGCUGGAUGCUGGACUCCAUCCCAGGACACUGGGAUCAUGACCUGAGCUGAAGACAGAUGCUUUACUGACUGAGCUACCUAGGUUCUUGCAGUGCCUGGCAUUUAAAUGGUGCUUGGUAAAUAUCUGUUGAAUAAAUCUUUAGACCAUACCACAUCAGGAGCCACCUUCUUCUCUCCCCACGUGUCAUGCUCAGAAAUAAAAAUAAAAUAGGUUUAAUGAGUUUUAUUUUCUGUUAUGACAAUCAGACACCGUAUUAUAAUGAGAAUUAUAAUAUGUUCAGCUCCUGCCAUGCCCUUCACACAUAUUAUUAUUUAAACUUCAUCCUUUGUAAGGCUAGUUUACAGAUGAAAAACAGACUGGGAAGCUGAUUAGCUUUCCCAGUUAUAAGUGCUAGACCAAACAGGCCUGGGUUCAAAUUACAUAAGUUCUGUGAGCCCCAGUUUUCCCAGAUAUUACAUGGUCAUAACUGUUAGAGCUGAUAGAGAGUAUUAGUACUAUUUGACACACUACAUGGUCAGGGUUCAGAGGUUACAACAGAAAUUUCUCUAGGUUGUAUAAGCAAUGGAAGUGUAGUCAAAGGAAUCAGUUACACUGCUGAGAGAACAACCAAGAAUCCAGAGCGAAUGAAGCAGCUCAAGAAUUAGUAACAGCAGAAAAUUUGCUACCACACUGGGAGUUGGAGGCACAUUGUAGAGGAGGAGGGCUUACCAGAACCCAGAAGUAAUCCCCAAGGGCUAGAGCUAUGGCAGGGACUAUCCAGUUCCCAGUGGGAGUUGAGAACCUUGAAGGAGUUUCAGCAUCUCCAGAAGCAGAGAGAGAAGGGAAGACAGACCCUGGCAUGUACCCCAUCUGCCUCCAAAGGCUCUCAUGGAUCAAACCUAUCUAGAAGCCAGAGAACAAAGGAGCGUGGAAUAAGAUUUUCUGUAGAACCAGGAUGACAGUUCUAUGGGGUAUAGGCUUUGGGUCUGAGAACAAACAACCAGGAGGCCAACAAGCACACUGAGCACAAACAGUAGUUGGUUUUCCCAAGUUGACAACCUGGAACUCAAAUACAGAUUCUCUGACUUCUAUUCCUCCCGUUCCUUAGGAAUUGGAUCAGCAAUAUGAGCAAAUCUACAGUGUAGUGUUAUGUUCUAUAACCAACUUUAUCUAAGUCAUAGAGAUUUUAUGUUCAUGAUUUUUUUUUAAACUAAAAAUAUUCUGUCUUCUCUCAAAUGAGGCAACACAUUCCUGUGGUUAAGGGGAUUUCCAGAAAACUAGUUUCAUUGAGUAAAGCUCCAUGGCAGUUAACCACAUCAGACCUGACUUCUGGAGCAGACCCCUUAGAAAGCAGCAUGCUCAACAAAGCUUGCAACUUAAUCAUGAUUCUUAGGACUUAAGAGGGUGAUGUUUUACUUGUGACUGUAUACAUAACAACUAAAAUGGCGCCUGGAACCAGUAGGCACUCAAAAGCUCAUGGGUGAAGAAUGAACAUAACCUAGGGUUAGUUUGGUUCCACCCCUGUCACUCAGAACCAGCAUCUCCCACCUAACCAAGCCUCUAUUGCUUCUACCCUAACUGUUCACUUAUCCUCCCUUUUAGGUCAUUAUCUGGAGCCAGUCAUUUUCACUCUGAGGAUACUGUCAUGUCUCACCUGAAUACUUAUUAGCCCUCUGCCUGGUUUUACUCCAUGGCUGUCCCCUCCAAGCCAUUCUCCAAUCCCACCAUCAAAGUCAUCUUUCCAAAGAUAGGGCAGGAGCUUCUCAAUGGCUCCUGCCCUAUCUCCAGCCCCUCCUGAGACAUAGCCCAAUACCUUUGCAGAGCCUCAAAUGUCCCUUUGGUUCUUACUCUGUCCAAGCCACCUGCUUCUACUACCAUAGGGGUUUCAUCUUUCCUGUAUGCCCCACACUUUCCUUAUUCCCUCUGCUGGGAAGGCUUCUCCCCACAUUGUCCAUCUUUAAAAUUAUAUCCCAAAGCUACCUUCUCUGAGGAAUCCUCUCUGCCAUGCCUGUACCUCAUGGCUAAUAACCCCAGCUACAGCCUGGUGUACUGUAGGCACAGGGGCUCUACAGUCUUAAUUCAUAGAUGAAGAAAUUCUUAUAUCUCAAUGCCAUUGAGGUUAUUUCUGAUUUUUUCCUCAAGUCCUUUUCCUCCUCUCUAUGUUGUUGGAAGCACCUUACGCCAGGCUCUGGUCUCCUCAUGUACAGAUUAUUACCUUGCUUGGCCAUGGAAGGUGUGUACUUCUUAAUGUUGAUGGUGCAUCAAGAGGUAGCUUUAUUAUUAUUACUACUAUUAUUGUUAUUAUUAUUAUUUUUAGUCACCCAAAGAGCCUAACACAGUGCUGGUUAUUUCACAAAAUUUCAUCUUACUCUGAAACAGAUUUUAAAAGACAUAAGAUGGGGCACUGGGUGGCUCAGAGGGUUAAGCCUCGGCCUUCCGCUCAGGUCAUGGUCUCAGGGUCCUGGGAUUGAGCCCCCCAUUGGGCUCUCUGCUCAGCAGGGAGCCUGCUUCCCCCUCUCUCUCCCUGCCUCUCUGCCUACUUGUGAUCUCUCUGUCAAAUAAAUAAAUAAAAUAUUUAAAAAAAAUAAAAGACAUAGAAAAGAUUGAAAGAAAAGUGAAAUAAAAUUGAGAUAGAAAAGGUGCUUAAAGAAAGUCUAUCUUCAAUUUACCAAAUAUUUUUUGAGCACCUACUGUGUUCCAACCAUCUUGCCUGCCACUGGGUAUGCAAUGUUAAACACAAAUCAGUCUCUGUCCUCAACAAGCUUCCCUUUCCUUCCUCAGUUUGCUGGAUCCACAGAAGACACAUUGCCAGGAAGCUUUCUUCCCUUAAGAAACAUCUGAAAAUAUAUGUAUAAACUCUCCCACUGGCAAAAUACGAAACAGGGCAAAUUCCUGAGGUCCUCGAUGAAAUGAUUUGCUUUUGAACAUUGGCGUUUCUCUCCUCUUCGUUGUUACCACCCAAGAUUCCUACGCCUUUCAUUUAAUUGUUUCUUUUUUGAUGGUGGUAUUUCGUUUUUGUAGUUGGUAACCUGAUGUUUCUGAAGGUAAUGCAGGGACUCAUCACAUCCUGGUUGCUGUGCACUGCUGUUUGAUCUCAAGGCUGUUGAAACCAGGUUUCCUGGGCACCUGGGUGGCUCAGUGGGUUAAGCCGCUGCCUUCGGCUCAGGUCAUGAUCUCAGGGUCCUGGGAUCGAGGCCCGCAUCGGGUUCUCUGCUCAGCAGGGAGCCUGAUUCCUCCUCUCUCUUUGCCUGCUUGUGAUCUCUCUCUGUCAAAUAAGUAAAUAAAAUAUUUAAAAAAAAAAAAAACAGGUUUCCUUUCCUAUACAAGUCUACAUACUCCUUUUUCCAGCUCUACCACAUGCACCAUGUUGCCACAACAACACUUUCAGGGCCCGUUUGGAAAUUGAUUGAUUAUUUUGAGCGUGAGAGAUGCAUCUCAGGAAAAACAAAUGAAUCAAAUAGAAAAAUGAAUUAACAUCAUGAAAUUUACCUUCCCAGCUGGAGACAUGAUGUAUUCAUGUGUUCCCUAGAGAGGAUCCUCUUUUAAGAAUUCACUAUUAAAGAAAGUCUGCAAUUAGGUGGAGUCAGAGCUCAACUUAAAACAUAUUUAUAUGUGAAUGGAAAACACCCCUUUAAAGGAAAAGGUUUCGAACUAGAAAUUUUCAUUUCUUAUGAAAGAUGCUUGGAAUUGACAACUGGCUUGCUACAGGCAUCUCGUUCCAGAUCUUCUAAAGUCUCUGUGAUACUCUUUUUUUUUUUUUUCAGCAUAACAGUAUUCAUUGUUUUUGUUACCACACCCAGUGCUCCAUGCAAUCCCUGCCCUCUCUAAUACCCACCACCUGGCUCCCCCAACCCCCCACCCCCCACCCGCCCCUUCAAAACCCUCAGAUUGUUUUUCAGAGUCCAUAGUCUCUCAUGGUUCACCUCCCCUUCCAAUUUCCCCCAACUCCCUUCUCCUAACUUCCCAUGUCCUCCAUGCUAUUGUUAUGCUCCACAAAUAAGUGAAAUUAUAUGAUAAUUGACUCUCUCUGCUUGACUUAUUUCACUAAGCAUAAUCUCUGUGAUACUCUGAAUUGGACUUGACAUCUUCAAAAAGCACGAUUCAGUCCCAUUGACAUUUAUGGUGCACCUGUUUGGUACAUGGCAUUCUGACAGCAUUCUAUGGGGCUAUAAAGACAAGUAAGAUAAUAUCUUUGUUUCGUUUAAUAAGAAAAAUAGAGAUGUAAGUGAAUAAGAAAGAACAGUUUUGUUUGGGCUUUUCGGGUGUUGUUACUAAGUCUAGCAUAGAUGGAGCACAACUUUGGUCACUUCACUUGUAGGCGAUGUUGCCAAGAUGAGAGAAGUGGAGGUGUUCUGAGGUAUAAACUUCUUCAUUUCAGAGCACCAAGGCAAAGUGACUGGCAGACCUACUCCUCCUCCUUGCUGAGUAUGAUCUUCUGGGUUUUAGGUAUGAGCAAAAUGAAGUAAAAAAAAUUCUAUUUAGCAACAAUAUUCGACCAUACUGACCAUACUAUAUGCUGGUUGGUGCUCUUUUUGGACUAUCUGGGAACCUAAUUAGCACAAGGACAUUAUGUUUACUUUUUCCUUUUUCUGACAUUGUGUUUUUAAUUAAAAAAAAAAAAAAUUCCAGGCAAUAAACUCACUAAGAAUGAAUUUUUAAAAUACAACAUGUUCCUCUGUAGAGUUUUGCCUAGGCAGCACUUUGCAUGAAGAGGGUUCUCUGGUCUGUGCAAUGAAUCAUUGAGAGCUAAUUUUCCCCAGGGACACAGAGGGAGAAUAGGACCUGGAGGUGGAUUUCUCUUUUCUGUCAUGUGAAUGAGACAAAGAUGUUGAGCCAUGUAAAAAAGCUCAACCUCAACAAGCCAAUAUUAGUAAAAAAUAAAAUCUUAAGGAACUAAAUAUGUUCACCCACUUCCUCCCGGGAUGGGGGUGUUAAGGUAGGUGCAGCUCUCUGUAUUUACCCAUGUAUGUGUAAGGAGAGGAUGAGGUCAAAGAAAACACAAGAGUGUUCGAAUGUAGGCAUAGGGUCCAAGUGAAUUUUACCUUACAGUUUUUCCAUGGCCUCAAAACUAAUUUACAAAUGAAAACAAGCACUUAAACUAAGAGCAUGUGUUAAUUUAUAGAUCAGGUGGGAAGAUGGCACCAAUUUUAGAUAAGUGUGAAAGAAUGCAAUCGGUAAUUAUAUUUUUUUCACGGUUAGUAGUCCAAUUUCAAAGACUACAUUAUUAAAAACAAGGUAAGAAUCCUUUCUGAGACUUGA